UUUACACUUCAAAUUUGAGUAAGUGUGUGGAGAAUUGGUUUGACUUGCAUAUAGUUUAUAGUCUGGAUUACUUAAUACUGAUUCAUUGACUUAAAUAGUUUCCACUAAGUAUAUAUUGUUAUUGAUAAAUACACAUGAAAUUCAGUUGUUUUGAAAUUUUAGAGGACACAGUUGGAAAAUAUCAAUGUGUUUUCCAUUCUAGAUGUGGUGUGUGGUGACGUGGGCGUGGUGGAGUGGGCGGCUCUGGAAGGAGCCUUGUGAAUUGUUGGCUUUGGUCAAAGUUGUGUUCUUUCUGAUGGGCACACGGCCAUGCUCUCAUAUCAGAAGUAUGUGUGCUGCAGUCUGGUGUCAUGAGUUACAGGAUUGGCGAGUUACUUAACAGGUUUUUUCCCCCCAGAUUUCCUUUUAUAUUUUUUAGAUGCAUAUGUGUAGCAUUAUAGUAUAAUUAAUUGCUGGGAAGGAUCUAAGAGGUACUGAUUUCACUUUUCUACCAGAAAACUAUGAAGUACCAGUAUGAUUUUCCAGUAACAACUUGGUUGGCUUUUGGUUAUAGUCACAAAAAGAGUCCAGCUCCUGAGAUUUUGGGAAGUGUAUAUAUUUUGUAUAUAAAAAUAGAAACAUGAAAAGCAGUGGAUACAGUAUGUUACAGGAUUGGUAGCAUUAGCAGUUAAUUCCUUUCCAGUACUGUUUUUAUUGAAAAGCAGGAAGUAUAUGGAAAUAGAAUGUCUUUUAUGCUAAAUUAAUAUGCCUCUGAGGUUAUUAAACUGUAGAUGGAAAUGUUGUUAUGGGUCAUACUGAAAAUGUUGGUUAUUUUAUAAGUAUAGUAAGAGAACAGAAAAGAAAAGGUACACUACAAGUAUUUUCUGAAGACAAAAGUAUUGAAGGUAUUUGAUGACAGAAAAUAAAUGACAAGUCAAAAUCAUCAUCCUGUGAAGUAAGGGAGUUUGAGGAACUCAUGGAGUGAGUAUGUCAUUAAAAAAAAAAAAUCACUGGAUCUGAAGAGAUUGCCCAUGGAGUUUACAUCUUUUUUUUUUUUUUUUUUUUGGAGUUUACAUCUUUAAUAGGACAGUCUCACUAAAGAUUCCCUAAAGAUCUGCUCCAUCUCAUUUUCACAUGCAGUCUGAAGAUCUGUACAAGAUUUUAUCUUCAAGUUCAUUUGUGAAGUCGGUGAUUAAAGCCAGAUGGAUUUCACUUCUUAGAGUCCAGGAAUUGUCCUCCCUCCAGUGGUGACUGACCAGGUAGUGUGUCAGGACUGGGCACUGACCCCUCUGCUCCAGAUGUAGACUUCCUGUGAAUCCCUUCAUCUUGUCUUUGUUCCAUAAGAACAGCUGCUGACGUCUGAGAUUUUGGCAGCCAAAACAUUAUAAAGUGAAGUUAAUAUUCCACCUUCAAAGGAGGGCUAAUUAUUGACACUGAGGAGCCAGCUGAAGUCAGAAACCUGUGGGCAGUAAAGAAGCUGACUGUUGGAUACGUUGAGAGUGAAACUUUGCGUUGUUU
rnacentral:lncRNA from 1 species